CCUACGGGAGGCAGCAGUAGGGAAUCUUCCGCAAUGGACGAAAGUCUGACGGAGCAACGCCGCGUGAGUGAUGAAGGCUUUCGGGUCGUAAAACUCUGUUGUUAGGGAAGAACAAGUGCUAGUUGAAUAAGCUGGCACCUUGACGGUACCUAACCAGAAAGCCACGGCUAACUACGUGCCAGCAGCCGCGGUAAUACGUAGGUGGCAAGCGUUGUCCGGAAUUAUUGGGCGUAAAGCGCGCGCAGGUGGUUUGUUGAGUCUGAUGUGAAAGCCCACGGCUCAACCGUGGAGUGGCAUUGGAGACGGGGAGACUUGAGUGUAGGAGAGGAAAGUGGAAUUCCAUGUGUAGCGGUGAAAUGCGUAGAGAUAGGGAGGAACACCGGUGGCGAAGGCGACUUUCUGGUCUGUAACUGACGCUGAGGCGCGAAAGCGUGGGGAGCAAACAGGAUUAGAUACCCUGGUAGUC
rnacentral:rRNA from 1 species